GACGUAGGAGGCGAGCGUUGUCCGGAAUCAUUGGGCGUAAAGAGCGCGUAGGCGGUCCGGUAAGUCCGCUCUGAAAGUCCGGGGCUCAACCCCGGGAGGCGGGCGGAUACUGUCGGGCUAGAGUCCGGAAGAGGCGAGUGGAAUUCCUGGUGUAGCGGUGAAAUGCGUAGAUAUCAGGAGGAACACCUGUGGCGAAAGCGGCUCACUGGACCAUAACUGACGCUGAUGCACGAAAGCUAGGGGAGCAAACAGG
rnacentral:rRNA from 1 species